GACGAACGCUGGCGGCGUGCUUAACACAUGCAAGUCGAACGGAAAGGCCCUGCUUUUGUGGGGUGCUCGAGUGGCGAAGGGGUAAGUAACACGUGAGUAACCUGCCCUUGACUUUGGGAUAACCUCAGGAAACUUGGGCCAAUCCCGGAUAGGAGCUCCUGCCGCUUGGUGGGGGUGGGAAAGUUUCGGUGGUUGGGGAUGUACGCGCGGCUCAUCAGCUUGUUGGUGGGGUAGUGGCUUACCAAGGCUUUGACGGGUAGCCGACCUGAGAGGGUGACCGGCCACAUUAGGACUGAGAUGCGGCCCAGACUCCUACGGGAGGCAGCGGUGGGGAAUGGUGCACAGUGGGCGGAGGCCUGAUGCAGCAACGCCGCGUGCGGUAAGACGGCCUUCGGGUAGGAAACCGCUUUCGCCUGUGACGAGGCGUGAGUGACGGUAAUGGGUGAAGAAGCACCGGCUAACUACGUG
rnacentral:rRNA from 1 species